GUGUGGCAUGAAAGGAGAGAAGGUUAGUAUUCACCUUACUCAGGAUGGAAAAGGUCCUACUCAUCUUUAUAACACAUAUGAUUAAGACUUUGUCCUGUGGCUUUUAACCAUAAUUGAUU
ensembl:snRNA